rnacentral:rRNA from 1 species
UAAUACAGAGGGUGCAAGCGUUAAUCGGAAUUACUGGGCGUAAAGCGUGCGUAGACGGUUGUUUAAGUCGGAUGUGAAAUCCCCGGGCUCAACCUGGGAAUUGCAUUCGAGACUGAACAGCUAGGGUACGGAAGAGGGAAGCGGAAUUUCCGGUGUAGCAGUGAAAUGCGUAGAUAUCGGAAGGAACAUCAGUGGCGAAAGCGGCUUCCUGGUCCAGUACCGACGUUCAGGCACGAAAGCGUGGGGAGCAAACAGG